rnacentral:RNase_MRP_RNA from 15 species
CCUUUGCUCAACAAAUCGCCAUUCGAAGCUCACACACGGAGAUGCUCUUUUCGAAGAGCAUCUCGCACCUCAAAAAACAAGCUUUGGGAGAAAGUCCCCGGACGUCUCCUCUUCUACGAGGAGCAUGCGGAAACGCGCCGCCAUAGAAGCACUGCGGCUGACCUCCGCGCCUUGGCCCAGCCGCGGCAUCUGCCCUGCCUACUGCUAAAUUCGUCCUUCUUUGUCCUCUUUUUUUCCGGCACGAACCUUGUUUUCCCUUUCGUUUCUGUUGCCGGCCGCUUAUGGAUGAAGAUACGAGUCCGAGCUGGGAGCGCAACGACUGGGAAUAGGGGUGAGUUUGGAGAGGGGACGAAGGGGUUGGAUGGUAGGUGGACGUUUCGAUGUUCUUUCGCGGUUGUGGUAUCGGGUGCAGAGGAUUUGUUGUCGAGGUCGAUAGGUAUGCGAUUGCCCGGCUGUGUCACAGCAGCUUGGUUACUCGAUGGGGCCCAUUCUUGAUGCAAAG